rnacentral:misc_RNA from 1 species
CCGAGUUCAUGCCCUUCGGGGUAGACCUCCCACCCUAUGUUAUCAUUACCUUUGUUGCUUUGGCGGGCCGCUGGGCCCCGGCCCGGCUACCGGCCCUCGCUGGUAAGCGCCCGCCAGAGGACCCCAAACUCUGAAUGUUAGUGUCGUCUGAGUACUAUAUAAUAGUUA